GACGAACGCUGGCGGCGUGCCUAAUACAUGCAAGUAGAACGCUGAAGAGAGGAGCUUGCUCUUCUUGGAUGAGUUGCGAACGGGUGAGUAACGCGUAGGUACUGCCUGACGGGGAUAACUAUUGGAACGAUAGCUAAUACCGCAUAACAAUGAAUGACUCAUGUCAUUUAUUUGAAAGGGGCAAUUGCUCCACUACAAGAUGGACCUGCGUUGUAUUAGCUAGUAGGUGAGGUAACGGCUCACCUAGGCGACGAUACAUAGCCGACCUGAGAGGGUGAUCGGCCACACUGGGACUGAGACACGGCCCAGACUCCUACGGGAGGCAGCAGUAGGGAAUCUUCGGCAAUGGGGGCAACCCUGACCGAGCAACGCCGCGUGAGUGAAGAAGGUUUUCGGAUCGUAAAGCUCUGUUGUAAGUCAAGAACGAGUGUGAGAGUGGAAAAUUCACACUGUGACGGUAGCUUACCAGAAAGGACGGCUAACUAC
rnacentral:rRNA from 1 species